AGCAGCUUGCUGCUUUGCUGACGAGUGGCGGACGGGUGAGUAAUGUCUGGGAAACUGCCCGAUGGAGGGGGAUAACUACUGGAAACGGUGGCUAAUACCGCAUAACGUCGCAAGACCAAAGAGGGGGACCUUCGGGCCUCUUGCCAUCAGAUGUGCCCAGAUGGGAUUAGCUUGUUGGUGAGGUAACGGCUCACCAAGGCGACGAUCCCUAGCUGGUCUGAGAGGAUGACCAGCCACACUGGAACUGAGACACGGUCCAGACUCCUACGGGAGGCAGCAGUGGGGAAUAUUGCACAAUGGGCGCAAGCCUGAUGCAGCCAUGCCGCGUGUAUGAAGAAGGCCUUCGGGUUGUAAAGUACUUUCAGCGGGGAGGAAGGUGUUGCGGUUAAUAACCGCAGCAAUUGACGUUACCCGCAGAAGAAGCACCGGCUAACUCCGUGCCAGCAGCCGCGGUAAUACGGAGGGUGCAAGCGUUAAUCGGAAUUACUGGGCGUAAAGCGCACGCAGGCGGUCUGUCAAGUCGGAUGUGAAAUCCCCGGGCUCAACCUGGGAACUGCAUUCGAAACUGGCAGGCUUGAGUCUUGUAGAGGGGGGUAGAAUUCCAGGUGUAGCGGUGAAAUGCGUAGAGAUCUGGAGGAAUACCGGUGGCGAAGGCGGCCCCCUGGACAAAGACUGACGCUCAGGUGCGAAAGCGUGGGGAGCAAACAGGAUUAGAUACCCUGGUAGUCCACGCCGUAAACGAUGUCUACUUGGAGGUUGUGCCCUUGAGGCGUGGCUUCCGGAGCUAACGCGUUAAGUAGACCGCCUGGGGAGUACGGCCGCAAGGUUAAAACUCAAAUGAAUUGACGGGGGCCCGCACAAGCGGUGGAGCAUGUGGUUUAAUU
rnacentral:rRNA from 1 species